rnacentral:rRNA from 1 species
GAACGCUAGCUACAGGCUUAACACAUGCAAGUCGAGGGGCAUCAGGAAGAAAGCUUGCUUUCUUUGCUGGCGACCGGCGCACGGGUGAGUAACACGUAUCCAACCUGCCCUUUACUCGGGGAUAGCCUUUCGAAAGAAAGAUUAAUACCCGAUAGCAUAAUGAUUCCGCAUGGUUUCAUUAUUAAAGGAUUCCGGUAAAGGAUGGGGAUGCGUUCCAUUAGGUUGUUGGUGAGGUAACGGCCCACCAAGCCUUCGAUGGAUAGGGGUUCUGAGAGGAAGGUCCCCCACAUUGGAACUGAGACACGGUCCAAACUCCUACGGGAGGCAGCAGUGAGGGAUAUUGGUCAAUGGGCGCUAGCCUGAACCAGCCAAGUAGCGUGAAGGAUGAAGGCUCUAUGGGUCGUAAACUUCUUUUAUAUAAGAAUAAAGUGCAGUAUGUAUACUGUUUUGUAUGUAUUAUAUGAAUAAGGAUCGGCUAACUCCGUGCCAGCAGCCGCGGUAAUACGGAGGAUCCGAGCGUUAUCCGGAUUUAUUGGGUUUAAAGGGAGCGUAGGUGGACUGGUAAGUCAGUUGUGAAAGUUUGCGGCUCAACCGUAAAAUUGCAGUUGAUACUGUCAGUCUUGAGUACAGUAGAGGUGGGCGGAAUUCGUGGUGUAGCGGUGAAAUGCUUAGAUAUCACGAAGAACUCCGAUUGCGAAGGCAGCUCACUGGACUGCAACUGACACUGAUGCUCGAAAGUGUGGGUAUCAAACAGGAUUAGAUACCCUGGUAGUCCACACAGUAAACGAUGAAUACUCGCUGUUUGCGAUAUACAGUAAGCGGCCAAGCGAAAGCAUUAAGUAUUCCACCUGGGGAGUACGCCGGCAACGGUGAAACUCAAAGGAAUUGACGGGGGCCCGCACAAGCGGAGGAACAUGUGGUUUAAUUCGAUGAUACGCGAGGAACCUUACCCGGGCUUAAAUUGCAGUGGAAUGAUGUGGAAACAUGUCAGUGAGCAAUCACCGCUGUGAAGGUGCUGCAUGGUUGUCGUCAGCUCGUGCCGUGAGGUGUCGGCUUAAGUGCCAUAACGAGCGCAACCCUUAUCUUUAGUUACUAACAGGUUAUGCUGAGGACUCUAGAGAGACUGCCGUCGUAAGAUGUGAGGAAGGUGGGGAUGACGUCAAAUCAGCACGGCCCUUACGUCCGGGGCUACACACGUGUUACAAUGGGGGGUACAGAAGGCAGCUAGCGGGUGACCGUAUGCUAAUCCCAAAAUCCUCUCUCAGUUCGGAUCGAAGUCUGCAACCCGACUUCGUGAAGCUGGAUUCGCUAGUAAUCGCGCAUCAGCCACGGCGCGGUGAAUACGUUCCCGGGCCUUGUACACACCGCCCGUCAAGCCAUGGGAGCCGGGGGUACCUGAAGUACGUAACCGCAAGGAUCGUCCUAGGGUAAAACUGGAG